rnacentral:lncRNA from 1 species
GUCCUUUUGUUCGGAAGGUUGUCCUCAGACUCCUGGGCCUCGCCGCCGAGGAGCUGGUGUGCGUCACACGGAAGGGAUCCCUAUUAGACGUGUAAGGAGAGCUCCGGUGUCUCUGUUCUGCAUCUGCUCUGUUUAUUUAUGCACCAAAACAGAGAACGGAGGUCGGGGAUAGGUGUGGGUCUUCCGAGGUCAUCGAGGAUGUCGUUUUCAGGAGCAAAGCAGAACGAGCAGGGUAUAGGGUAUAGGAUAUAGGGUAUAGGGUAUAGGAACGGCCCGCUGACUCACAAGCCAGGCAUGUAGGCAUUGUUAGGAUUCCACAACGCUGGGUCGUGACGGCGCUCCAUUUAUACCUGGUCGUGCUGAUCGGUGACGGGGGCGGUCGCUUGGCUUGCCGACGAGGGCGCGACAGUUUUUGUAUGUCUUUAAAUGAGUAUAAUUCAUGUGUUUAUGAGUUAAUUGUAUUCAGAGCUUUGCUUACUUUUCAUUAGCCUGAUGUCAUUUUGUAUCUUGACUAAUUUUAAGAAAUGAUUCCAUGAAGGAAAACACACAAAAAGAUUGCUUUGAAAAAAAGAAGUUUGUCAGCUUCUUCUUUCAGUUUCUCUUCCCUGUAGAUCUUUUUUUGAUCGCUUUGUGUUUGUAAUGUUUCUGCUUAACAGAAGUAUAUUUUAUACCAUUACAUGUUCUGGAUCACAGCUGUGGAAAGGCAUUGUGCUUAUUGGUUUUAUUUCUUCUGGGGCCUGCUUUCCGCUGGGUCUGGGGUUCGAGUCCCGCUUGGGGUGCCUUGCGAUGGACUGGCGUCCCGUCCUGGGUGUGUCCCCUCCCCCUCCAGCUUUGCGCCCUGUGUUGCUGGGUUAGGCUCCGGUUUGCUGCGACCUCACUUAGGACAAGCGGUCUCGGGCAGUGUGUGUGUGUCCGUGUGUGUGUAGCUGAGGUAAGUACUGGUUUUCAGUUAUGUAUCUUGAUGUUAAUGUAUGGAAUUGCAUGAAAGUUUAACAGUAUGAAAUGUUAUUAUACAGACUGUUCUCUGUCCUCAUAUAUUUUCCUCUUCUCUGGAAAUUUAAUCUGUGACAGAUGGAAGAUUGUGAUGGUACAGUUUGUAAAUGUGACAGAUUUGGAGUGUUGAGUCCUACUGAGUAAUCUUUGUGAUUCAUUUUAAAUAAUAUUCCAGCUUGCUGACUGUGACAUAUGUACAUGUUGAUAUUUGGUAAAGACUGAAGGGAAAACGAGCAGAACAAAUUGCUUUGUCAGACAAACACUGGGUCGCAGGUGAUGUUUUUUUUAAAAAAAAAACUGGUCGUUUUCAUAUUUAUUUUUUUCCCCACUUGCACUUCAGUGGAAAAAGGCAGGUAAAUGAGAAUAUGAUGCUCCGUUAAGUAUUAGUUUAAAAAUAAAAUGAAAAGGAAACUGCCA